rnacentral:rRNA from 1 species
AUGAACGCUAGCGACAGGCUUAACACAUGCAAGUUGAGGGGCAGCACAGGUAGCAAUACCGGGUGGCGACCGGCGCACGGGUGAGUAACGCGUAUGCAACUUGCCUAUCAGAGGGGGAUAACCCGGCGAAAGUCGGACUAAUACCGCAUGAAGCAGGGGCCCCGCAUGGGGAUAUUUGCUAAAGAUUCAUCGCUGAUAGAUAGGCAUGCGUUCCAUUAGGCAGUUGGCGGGGUAACGGCCCACCAAACCGACGAUGGAUAGGGGUUCUGAGAGGAAGGUCCCCCACAUUGGUACUGAGACACGGACCAAACUCCUACGGGAGGCAGCAGUGAGGAAUAUUGGUCAAUGGCCGAGAGGCUGAACCAGCCAAGUCGCGUGAGGGAUGAAGGUUCUAUGGAUCGUAAACCUCUUUUAUAAGGGAAUAAAGUGCGGGACGUGUCCCGUUUUGUAUGUACCUUAUGAAUAAGGAUCGGCUAACUCCGUGCCAGCAGCCGCGGUAAUACGGAGGAUCCGAGCGUUAUCCGGAUUUAUUGGGUUUAAAGGGUGCGUAGGCGGCCUUUUAAGUCAGCGGUGAAAGUCUGUGGCUCAACCAUAGAAUUGCCGUUGAAACUGGGGGGCUUGAGUAUGUUUGAGGCAGGCGGAAUGCGUGGUGUAGCGGUGAAAUGCAUAGAUAUCACGCAGAACCCCGAUUGCGAAGGCAGCCUGCCAAGCCAUGACUGACGCUGAUGCACGAAAGCGUGGGGAUCAAACAGGAUUAGAUACCCUGGUAGUCCACGCAGUAAACGAUGAUCACUAGCUGUUUGCGAUACACUGUAAGCGGCACAGCGAAAGCGUUAAGUGAUCCACCUGGGGAGUACGCCGGCAACGGUGAAACUCAAAGGAAUUGACGGGGGCCCGCACAAGCGGAGGAACAUGUGGUUUAAUUCGAUGAUACGCGAGGAACCUUACCCGGGUUUGAACGCAUUCGGACCGAGGUGGAAACACCUUUUCUAGCAAUAGCCGUUUGCGAGGUGCUGCAUGGUUGUCGUCAGCUCGUGCCGUGAGGUGUCGGCUUAAGUGCCAUAACGAGCGCAACCCUUGCCACUAGUUACUAACAGGUAAAGCUGAGGACUCUGGUGGGACUGCCAGCGUAAGCUGCGAGGAAGGCGGGGAUGACGUCAAAUCAGCACGGCCCUUACAUCCGGGGCGACACACGUGUUACAAUGGGGGGUACAGAAGGCAGCUAGCGGGUGACCGUAUGCUAAUCCCAAAAUCCUCUCUCAGUUCGGAUCGAAGUCUGCAACCCGACUUCGUGAAGCUGGAUUCGCUAGUAAUCGCGCAUCAGCCACGGCGCGGUGAAUACGUUCCCGGGCCUUGUACACACCGCCCGUCAAGCCAUGGGAGCCGGGGGUACCUGAAGUCCGUAACCGCGAGGAUCGGCCUAGGGUAAAACUGGUGACUGGGGCU